rnacentral:lncRNA from 1 species
GGGAAAACCGAUGUGGCUUGCUCUUCCCAGGGUCCCGCAAACGUCGCGGGAGAAAAACCGAAGACACGAGGUGCUCCCAGUGUGGUCCAACAGGCAUAUUUUAAAUAUAUGUCCCCAGGUNCGUGGCUGAAGAAAAUUCUGGAAGGACUCCCAAGAAGUUAUUUCUUUUUUCUGCUUGCUGUGAUAUUGAGGAGAAACAGUGAUGACAUCUUUUUGGCUGGAUGGAACUGAUAGAAGAUUUAUGGAGCAGCUGAGGACUGUCAGAGCCCGAUCCAGCAGACUCCCUAAAAAAAGGACCAUGGCCUUUCAUCAGCGAGCACACUGCCUUCUGAAAUGGCCUAACACGAGAGAGAGAGAGAGAGAGAGAGAGAGAGAGAGAGAGAGGAUCCUAUCUAACCAGCCAUCAGUGAGGUUAUCCCUGUACCCCACAGCUGCUGCCACCCAAUCUGAAGGUUCCCGCUUCUGCUCUUGAAGGAUUGUAUGUGACCACACAGAAGUCCUAGCUGUCACCCAUCGUCAAAGCCCCUGGCCCCAGUCUGGGACCCAGAGCCCUCCAGGAGUGGGAAACUUCAUCCUAUACCUUCUCAGUCACAGGGAUUUCAGAAAUUAGUCACAGGAAACAGGGAGGCUGAGAGUGGAGGCUUCUAAGAGGAGCCAGUAACAAGAUCUGGGGUCUUUCAGCCCAAGUCACAGAAGCUUAGACUGUCCCCAAGGUAGGGAUGAGUGGUCAAGGAUGGAACCGGUCUCCCCAAGGCCUCUGCCAGCAGCAAGAGCUUUUGAGAGAUGGAACCUAUAACCAGGGAGUCGUCCCCUCACUGAGGGGUCUCUCCCGUACCUCAAAUGCCUGCCCUAGUACUCUCAACUCUGAGAUACACACAAGGGUAGACUGGAACCCAGAACCCAGCAUGUGUCUGAAACAAAGUCUUGACCUGACUUCCACCUCUCCUCAUGAAUGAACACUGAGACACUCUACAGCUCUGUUGCAUCUCAGAGCACAGGACACUCUCAGACAUCCCAGAAUUGUCACUCACAGACAUCUCAUGUGGACAGACAGUAAAUGACAAUCAUUCUAAAGGGAUGGAAAAGUUGUGGGGUGGUAGAGGCAGAAACAUAAGGCACUGGGUUCAAUCCUCUAUGUGAAGAGAAAGAUGAUCAUACAUACAUACAUACAUACAUACAUACAUACAUACAUACAUACAUACAUACAUAGAUCAGAGACACAAGCUAAAUAUCGACCAACAGAAAAAAGUUUAAGGCUGGUGAGUUCAAAUCCCAGUCACCACAUGGUGGCUCACUACCCUCUGUAACACUUCUGGAGUGUCUGAAAACAGUUACAGUAUAGUUACAUAUAUUAAAUAUAUC